CGAAUGGGGAAACCCAGUGUGAUUCGUCACACUAUCAUUAACUGAAUCCAUAGGUUAAUGAGGCGAACCGGGGGAACUGAAACAUCUAAGUACCCCGAGGAAAAGAAAUCAACCGAGAUUCCCCCAGUAGCGGCGAGCGAACGGGGAGGAGCCCAGAGCCUGAAUCAGCAUGUGUGUUAGUGGAAGCGUCUGGAAAGGCGCGCGAUACAGGGUGACAGCCCCGUACACAAAAGCGCAUGUGCUGUGAGCUCGAUGAGUAGGGCGGGACACGUGGUAUCCUGUCUGAAUAUGGGGGGACCAUCCUCCAAGGCUAAAUACUCCUGACUGACCGAUAGUGAACCAGUACCGUGAGGGAAAGGCGAAAAGAACCCCGGCGAGGGGAGUGAAAAAGAACCUGAAACCGUGUACGUACAAGCAGUGGGAGCACCCUUCGGGGUGUGACUGCGUACCUUUUGUAUAAUGGGUCAGCGACUUAUAUUCUGUAGCAAGGUUAACCGUAUAGGGGAGCCGGAGGGAAACCGAGUCUUAACCGGGCGUUAAGUUGCAGGGUAUAGACCCGAAACCCGGUGAUCUAGCCAUGGGCAGGUUGAAGGUUGGGUAACACUAACUGGAGGACCGAACCGACUAAUGUUGAAAAAUUAGCGGAUGACCUGUGGCUGGGGGUGAAAGGCCAAUCAAACCGGGAGAUAGCUGGUUCUCCCCGAAAGCUAUUUAGGUAGCGCCUCGUGAAUUCAUCUCCGGGGGUAGAGCACUGUUUCGGCUAGGGGGCCAUCCCGGCUUACCAACCCGAUGCAAACUGCGAAUACCGGAGAAUGUUAUCACGGGAGACACACGGCGGGUGCUAACGUCCGUCGUGAAGAGGGAAACAACCCAGACCGCCAGCUAAGGUCCCAAAGUCAUGGUUAAGUGGGAAACGAUGUGGGAAGGCCCAGACAGCCAGGAUGUUGGCUUAGAAGCAGCCAUCAUUUAAAGAAAGCGUAAUAGCUCACUGGUCGAGUCGGCCUGCGCGGAAGAUGUAACGGGGCUAAACCAUGCACCGAAGCUGCGGCAGCGAACGUAUCACCCAAGACAACUUUACGGAGUUGACGAUUGACGGAGCGAAGCGACGUCAAAGCGUUCAUUAAAGUCGAGUUGGCUUAGGGAUACGUUCGUUGGGUAGGGGAGCGUUCUGUAAGCCUGUGAAGGUGUGUCGUGAGGCAUGCUGGAGGUAUCAGAAGUGCGAAUGCUGACAUAAGUAACGAUAAAGCGGGUGAAAAGCCCGCUCGCCGGAAGACCAAGGGUUCCUGUCCAACGUUAAUCGGGGCAGGGUGAGUCGACCCCUAAGGCGAGGCCGAAAGGCGUAGUCGAUGGGAAACGGGUUAAUAUUCCCGUACUUGGUGUUACUGCGAAGGGGGGACGGAGAAGGCUAUGUUGGCCGGGCGACGGUUGUCCCGGUUUAAGCGUGUAGGUGUGUGUUCCAGGUAAAUCCGGUUCACUUUAACACUGAGGCGUGACGACGAGGCACUACGGUGCUGAAGCAACAAAUGCCCUGCUUCCAGGAAAAGCCUCUAAGCAUCAGGUAACACGAAAUCGUACCCCAAACCGACACAGGUGGUCAGGUAGAGAAUACCAAGGCGCUUGAGAGAACUCGGGUGAAGGAACUAGGCAAAAUGGUGCCGUAACUUCGGGAGAAGGCACGCUGACACGUAGGUGAAGUGAUUUACUCAUGGAGCUGAAGUCAGUCGAAGAUACCAGCUGGCUGCAACUGUUUAUUAAAAACACAGCACUGUGCAAACACGAAAGUGGACGUAUACGGUGUGACGCCUGCCCGGUGCCGGAAGGUUAAUUGAUGGGGUCAGCGCAAGCGAAGCUCCUGAUCGAAGCCCCGGUAAACGGCGGCCGUAACUAUAACGGUCCUAAGGUAGCGAAAUUCCUUGUCGGGUAAGUUCCGACCUGCACGAAUGGCGUAAUGAUGGCCAGGCUGUCUCCACCCGAGACUCAGUGAAAUUGAACUCGCUGUGAAGAUGCAGUGUACCCGCGGCAAGACGGAAAGACCCCGUGAACCUUUACUAUAGCUUGACACUGAACAUUGAGCCUUGAUGUGUAGGAUAGGUGGGAGGCUUUGAAGUGUGGACGCCAGUCUGCAUGGAGCCGACCUUGAAAUACCACCCUUUAAUGUUUGAUGUUCUAACGUGGACCCGUAAUCCGGGUUGCGGACAGUGUCUGGUGGGUAGUUUGACUGGGGCGGUCUCCUCCUAAAGAGUAACGGAGGAGCACGAAGGUUGGCUAAUCCUGGUCGGACAUCAGGAGGUUAGUGCAAUGGCAUAAGCCAGCUUGACUGCGAGCGUGACGGCGCGAGCAGGUGCGAAAGCAGGUCAUAGUGAUCCGGUGGUUCUGAAUGGAAGGGCCAUCGCUCAACGGAUAAAAGGUACUCCGGGGAUAACAGGCUGAUACCGCCCAAGAGUUCAUAUCGACGGCGGUGUUUGGCACCUCGAUGUCGGCUCAUCACAUCCUGGGGCUGAAGUAGGUCCCAAGGGUAUGGCUGUUCGCCAUUUAAAGUGGUACGCGAGCUGGGUUUAGAACGUCGUGAGACAGUUCGGUCCCUAUCUGCCGUGGGCGCUGGAGAACUGAGGGGGGCUGCUCCUAGUACGAGAGGACCGGAGUGGACGCAUCACUGGUGUUCGGGUUGUCAUGCCAAUGGCACUGCCCGGUAGCUAAAUGCGGAAGAGAUAAGUGCUGAAAGCAUCUAAGCACGAAACUUGCCCCGAGAUGAGUUCUCCCUGAGACUUAGAGUCUCCUGAAGGAACGUUGAAGACGACGACGUUGAUAGGCCGGGUGUGUAAGCGCAGCGAUGCGUUGAGCUAACCGGUACUAAUGAACCGUGAGGCUUAACCUU
rnacentral:rRNA from 1 species